rnacentral:pre_miRNA from 1 species
AGGAGGAACAGCCCCAGUGGCGGGGCCACCUCUGGAAACCUGGAUUCAGCUCCGGCAGGAACUCCGUCUGCAGGGCCUGGAGGCUCCGGGGCGGG